AUAGUAUAUAUAUAAGUAUACACUCUUCUAGGAUCAGUUGUGAGGAGUUCCUUAAAUUUUCUUGCGACAUGGAGUACAUAAAGAGGGUGGAUGCGCUAGUGUUUUUCUCGUUACUCUCCUCAGAUACUUUGCUGCUCAUGCACAUGGGAAGGGUCAUGUCACAGAUGAUGUCGGAGUUUCUACUCCAGCUAAAGAAGGAAUUAUGCAAGGAAACGGAGCACGAUGUGAUGUAGGGUUUCCUCCAUGCAAAGAUAACAAGUGCUACUGCUGCAUUGGGGGGCGAACUCAUGCUCGCUACUCUACGCUGGCUGAGUGUAGUCAUGCCUGCUUCUAAACAAAAAUUAAGAUCACUGUUAUUAUAUACAUUGUAAUGGUGGCAUAGCAGGAGUGGAGGGCAGCGACGGCUGCACAGCGCUGCAUGCAGUGGCUUGCAUUUGUAGCUCCUCGUUGGCGAUGCGUGUGCGACCAAGAGCUCUCGACACAGACAGGUAGUAGUAGAGCCAGAAUUGUAAACCUUGGG